ACUAAUGAUGUGUAACACUGCUAUCUAACUAUUUGUUUGUUUAUUUUUAAUUUAAUUUUUGAGACAGGCUCUCACUGUAUUCCUGGUUGGCCUAGAUGAAAUUUAUUAUAUAGACCAGGCUAACCUUGAACUGACAGACUUCUGUCUGCAUCUGCUUCUUGAGUGCUGGGACUACAGGUGUGUGCCACUGCACACAGCUUUACAGUUAGCCUUAGAAUAUGUUCAUUUACUCUCAAAAGAAAUUCUAUACCCAUUAGCAGUCAUCCUUCAUUUCUUCCCCACUCAUCCUCUGUAGUCCCCAGCAUCAUUUUAAUAUGAUGGUGUACACCAUUCAUCCCAUAUUACGUGAGCUGCUGAAGCAGAAGGGCUUAACCAUGCCUCAAAAAAAAAAAAAAGUACCUGGCUAUUUGCUGUAACGAGACCAUGCAGUGUAUGGCAUUUUCACUGAGCUCACUCAUAGUAUAGCAAGUCAGUUUUUACUUCCUUUUGUGGCCGGAUAAGAGUUAUUAUUAGUAAAUGGAUAUUUGGGUUAUUUCUACUCUGGGCCAUUAUCAGUAAUGCUAAAAUUCCAUGUUUUCAUCCUAGGAGCACAAUUACUGUGUCACAUGGUAACUAUGUUUAGCAUUUUGAAAAAUUUGGCAGACUGCUUUCUGUAGUGGCUUAUCAUGUUAUAUCCCUACUUCCAGUGUAAGGGAGAGAAACAGACAGACACAGGUUAUUCAAUUAAAUAGUAUUAAUAAAUCUGGGCAUGUGAAACCCACCUCGAUGGUUUAUGUUCCCAAACUAAAGACACACACAGCCUUUGUAUUUAAUAUGCCUUAAUCAGCACAGUGGGUGGGUGACUACCUAGCCUCCAAUGCUGCUAGAAUCUUACCUCCUGCUGAUAAUUCCAGUUACUGCUUAAUAAUUCCUGAGUUCUAUCUUGGCUGCUCAUCACCCAGUUGGGCCGCCCUCUGGGCCCUGCUCUCCUGGCUCCUUCACAUGGCGGCCACGCCUCUCUGUCCUGCACUCUUCUCAGGCAUGGCGUCUCUCCUAGCACGGCAUAUCUCUCCUUCCUCUUUCUCUUCCUGGUCCCAAGCCUGGUGGGAAUCCUAAAAUUUGACUCUGUCCGCCCUGCCCAGCUAUUGGCUGUUGGCAUCUUUAUUUACCAAUCAAAACCAACUGGAGGCAGGUUCCCAGAAACUCUGUGAAUAUAGGCAACUACAGAGACAUCUGAGUGCAGUGCAGGGGUCUGCAGAGGUGAGAAGAGCCGAGUUACAGGGAGUUGGAAGCCACUUGAUGUGGGUGCUGGGCCCAGAACUCUGUCCUCUGCAGGAUUUAAGUGCACUCUCCCACUGAGGCAGCUCUUGAGCUGAACAUGAGUUCUGUUUGCCCCUUUUGUUUUCCUUUUUAAUGAAGCACAAACGCCCCAUGUUUGGGCAUGCUGCUUUUCUCUGUGUCGUUCCAGUUUUGUUGUCUAUCGUAUUUAAGUUUAACAUUUGUUUGAUAGCUAGACAUAUUACCAUGUGGUUUAUUGGCCAGUUGUACAUCUUCCCUGGAGAAGUGUGACUUUUUCCCUUAUACUCUAGUUUUGUGGGUGGCCGAGACAGAAGGAUCACUGAGGCUACUCGUCAGAUGAGGAAGAGACAAGCUACAGCUCAGUGAGAGAGACCCUGCCAUGGGGAGAAUGCUGGCAGCACUAGAGAGGAGAUCAUGGCCUCUCCUGGGUGCCACAUGAGUACACACACACAUACACACCCCACAUCCCAGACAAAACACACACACAAACACACACCCCUUUUAAAAAGCCUUGGGGCUGGAAAGAUGAUUUAGAGCACUGGCUCUAAAGAAUGGAGUUUUUCUAACUGCUCAGUGGUUAAGAGCACUGGCUGCUUUCCCAGAGGACCCAGAUUCAAUUCUCAGCACCCACAUGGCAGGCAGCUCACUCCUAUCUAUAACUCCAGUUGCGGGGCUUCUGACACCCUCACACAGACAUGCAUGCAAGACACUAAUG
rnacentral:lncRNA from 1 species